UGGUGCUCGGAGAGAGGUUGUCCGUGGUGAGUUCGCAUUAUUUAAUGAUGCCCAAUACACGGUCGAUCUCUUUUCGGUACCA
rnacentral:pre_miRNA from 14 species